rnacentral:rRNA from 1 species
GACGAACCGAGCGAACGUUGUUCGGAAUCACUGGGCUUAAAGGGCGCGUAGGCGGGUGCUCAGGUCCGGGGUGAAAUCCUCCAGCUCAACUGGAGAACUGCCUCGGAUACUGGGUGUCUCGAGUGUGGUAGGGGUAUGCGGAACUAUCGGUGGAGCGGUGAAAUGCGUUGAUAUCGAUAGGAACACCGGUGGCGAAGGCGGCGACCUGGGUAGAUACUGACGCUGAGGUGCGAAAGCGUGGGGAGCAAACAGG